GUCCAACUGGGUGGGGUUGUCAAGAGGCAGAGUAGCAGGCGAUGAGUUCAGAGAGAGAACAUGGGGUAGGGAGUAAGGUUCUGUGUGCUGCGCUUCUCCAACUGCAAUGUGCACAUGAAUCAUCCGAGUAAUGUAUUAAAAUGCAGGUAUAAGAUUCUCCCUUUAUAACAAGCUCCUAUACUAUGCCACGACUGCUAAUGGCUGUGUCUUGAGCACGAAGGACAAGAAGUCUUCAGCCAGUGAGAGGAGAGCAGUAAAACCUUCCCUAUCACUCUCAGGCCACAGCUGAGGAUUCAUUACAGCUUGGGGAAUGUGUAUGAGUCUGCUGGUGCUGCCAUAACAAAACACCACAGGGUAGGUGGCUUAAACAACAAAAAUGCAUUUUCUCACAGUUUGGGAGGCUUAGAGUCCAAGAGGAAGGAGUCAGGAGAUUUGGUUUCUUCUGAGGCCUCUCUCCUAGGCUUGCAGAUAACCAUCUUCUUGUUGUGUCCUCAUGUGGUCUCUCCUCUUGUGUGAGCUCCCCUUGUGUUUCUUUUUGUGUCCAAAUUUUCUCUUCUUAUAAGGAUACAAGUCAGGUUAGAAUAAGGCCCUCCCUAACAGCCUCAUUUUAACUUAAUUACCUCUUUAAAGGCUCUAUCUCCAAAUAUAGUCACAAUCUGAGGUACUGGGAGUUAGGACUUCAACAUAUGAAGUUAGGGGAGGGAGCACAAUUUAGCCCCCAACAGAAGGGAACUUCCCCCAAAACACUUUUCACCUUGAAAGGUAACCAGGGAAAUGUCCUGGACCCUAAUCAUUAGAGAUUCUCUACCCCUGGGGAAGGGAUAUAAUUACUGAGGAUGUCCUCUCACCAAGAUUUAAUGUUACAACACCUAAGAUUUAGGCUAAACAAGAACAACAAAGAAUGCCCCCUACAUCCCCCAUCAUGAGACUAUCAAGCAAGAAUUAAUGUAAAUCUAGUAUUGGAAGAGGAGCAAGAGCACGGAAACAUACUCUCUAAGAUGUAGGUACAAAUGGAGACCUAACCUCUGGCAAAAUAGUCACCUCAAGAAGCAUGGGGUAACAACCAGAAGAAUUUAAAUGAUAAAGUGCUCCAAGGAUAACCAUAAAAACAACAAAACCCAAGCCCAGCUCCACCCUUAACUAGAUUGACUCAACCCCCAAAACUAACAAUCUAGCAAAGGAAAAGAUCAACUCUUUUCAAGAAUAAAUAUUGUUUAUCUCAGUCACUACUGUUGUUACAGUCUCAACAAUGCACCACAAGCAGUCUCUUGUAAGGUAUCACCCAGAGUUCUUUGUCUCAUGACCAGGAGAAUUAAGGAGUGUGAACACAAAGGGUGGAGUUGGAGCAAAAGUUUAAUAAGCAAAAGAAGAAGCAGCCUGGAAAAGGGUUG
rnacentral:lncRNA from 1 species